rnacentral:rRNA from 1 species
CCUACGGGUGGCAGCAGUGGGGAAUAUUGGGCAAUGGGCGCAAGCCUGACCCAGCAACGCCGCGUGAAGGAAGAAGGCUUUCGGGUUGUAAACUUCUUUUAAGAGGGAAGAGCAGAAGACGGUACCUCUUGAAUAAGCCACGGCUAACUACGUGCCAGCAGCCGCGGUAUACGGUGGUGGCAAGCGUUGUUCGGAUUUACUGGGUGUAAAGGGCGUGUAGCCGGGCUGACCAGUCCGAUGUGAAAUCCGGGGGCUCAACCCCCGAACUGCAUUUGAAACUGUUGGUCUUGAGUAUCGGUGAGGCAGGCGGAAUUCCUAGUGUAGCGGGGAAAUGCGUAGAUAUUAGGAGGAACACCAGUGGCGAAGGCGGCCUGCUGGACGACAACUGACGGUGAGGCGCGAAAGCGUGGGGAGCAAACAGGAUUAGAUACCCGAGUAGUC